rnacentral:rRNA from 1 species
AUGAAAAAAGUGUCAUGGAAAGAAUUCUGUACAGAAAUCACUAAAAGAUUCUCUGCUCAAGGCUCUUAUGAUCUAACUAAAAAUUUUAACUCUGUUAAACAGUCCAACAGUUUAGUGUCUGAAUACACAAAGGUGUUUGAAGAUUUAAUGGCAGAUGUUCAAGAGGAAAACCCAGAACUGGGAGAAUCCUGGUUUGUAAGAUGCUAUGUCAAUGGAUUGAGAGAGGGCAUAAAAUAUCAGAUCAGACCACUAAGGCCUCAAACCCUCACUAAUGCUUAUUGGCUAGCAAAGGAUGUAGAGCCAUGCCAUCCCCCAGCGACAACAGUUCCUAAAAGAACUAUUGUCCCAUACAACAAUUAUUAUCAGAAAUCUUCAGGGAGUUUUCUUCCUAAGCAGAACACAACACCUUUCAACGAGCAGCAAAUUCCAAUCAGGCAGGCUGAAGUUACUUCUAACAACACUCAGAAAAUAAGGAAAGUAGGAGAAUGUUGGAGAUGUGGAGAUAAAUGGGUGCAUGGUCAUAAGUGUAAAUUAGUGCCAACUAUACAUGUCAUGCAACAAGAGAUAGAGGAGCAAACUAGCUUUGAUGUGGAAGAACAGCAAAGUGAAGAACAAUUAGAACCAGUUUCUGAGGGAGAUCAGGCCAUGUUCAUAUCUGCUUUUGCAAUGGGACAGCAGCUGGCAGUUCCCACCCCAACAGUAAUAAUAUACAUCAAUGGAAAAAGGGCAGUGGCCUUACUGGAUUCUGGCAGUACUACUUCCUUCAUCAACCAGGAUUUUGCAGUAAAAGCUAACUGCAACAUGCUACCUGUAAAACCCAGAAGUAUAUCUGUGGCUGGAGGAGGAAUACUAGUAUAUGCUGCAGUGAUUCCCAAAUGUGAAUUUCAGAUUGCAAAACUGACCCUAUCCCACAAUUUCAGAGUACUUUCUCUACUAAGUCAUGAUGUGAUCUUAGGAUAUGACUGGUUUACUGCUGUUAGUCCAGUGUCAUUUGAUAUACCUGCACAACAAUUUGGGUUUACUCAUGAGGGAAAACAGACUGUAUCUACAACAAUGUUCUCAACAGCUGCCAGCUUAAAAGAAGUUCCUCCAAAAAGAGUAGACAAACUUAUGGAAAAGGGGCCAGAAGUGUUUCUCUGCCAGGUCAAUAACAUACUCAUGGAUGCUCCUGAGGAUUCUAAAACUCCUCCACAAAUACAGAAACUACUGUUGGAAUAUGCAGAUCUUUUUGAAGAACCUAAGACCUUACCUCCUCAGAGAGCUCUAGAGCACAAAAUUCCUUUAGUAGAAGGAGCCACACCACCUCAAGUCAGACCUUACAGAGUUCCUCAGCACCAAAGGAAAGAAAUGGAAGAGCAAAUAAAGAAACUGUUGGCUGCACAUUUGAUAAAGCACAACCAAAGUCCUUUUGCUGCUCCAGUUUUAUUGGUCAAAAAAAAGAUGGAUCUAUGA